UCGAACCAAACCAUUCCAAAGGUUUAUCUUUUAGUGGUUUAUUAUAAAUCGUGUAUGCAUAUAUACGUUAAUAUGUAUCUCCUCCUAAAAACCUAAAGUUAUUUGCCGUCAGUAGAGAUUAAGCCUUCUCUAAGCCAUCUUCUUCUCCAUCACCAGCCACCAUCAGCCACCAUGAAAGAGGAGCCAACACACAUUUUGAAUAGAGAGAUUAAAGCUCAUCAGACAUGUUUUGGAAGAGCAGAGGAACUAUCAAUCAAACCUGAGUAUUUCGAAGCCAAAUUUUGAGGUUAUGUUCUACACUCAUAGAUAUAUGUUUAUCAGAAAGCGGAUCAUCAUUUGGAUUUUUCAUCUAAUAGUUAUGGUCAUUUCUUUGGGGCUGCUCGUUGUAGAUCGGAUCCGCCGAUAAGUCAACUUCAUCAGUGUUUUCCCGUUGAUCUAGAAGGAACCAGCAAACGAGAGAGAUAUCAAUCGAAAGAUCUCGUUGUCAGCUUUCCAGAUCAUCUUCCCGAUCGUAAAACCAAGGCACGGUUGGAAAGUUAUCGACGUUGCUUCUUGGCCAAGGAUAGCUGAAGCUUAGUGAUGCAGAUACAGUUCCGACUAGUCUCAGCGUAAAGGCCAAACGGCCGACAUAAAUGAAAGCUUUCAAUCUGGAAAUUUGUCAUAUUACUGCAGUUUUCAUUUGCGACCAGCCUGGAUCUGAAGCUAUUUUAGUUAAUCAAAUGGUGUCCGAUCGGAGUAAAAUCGGUGUCUAUGGACAGAGGAUAUCUAGGACUAUAUUCUGACCGGAGGGAUUGAAAAGUUAACGGUCAGUUAUUGAGAUAUUCACAUGUUUCCUCUAUGGUUCAGCUCUGCCAGAAUCAUUAUAUUCAUUUAUUUUCAGAGAGUUUCGAAGUUGCUGUUUUAGAACCAUCAAAGUCCAUUAUGUAUUUCUCAGGUUUCUUCAGAACCCAUGGCAAAGGUGAGGGUCUACUCCAUAAAUUCCGUACCAGUGUAGAAUUCCUUCUAUGAUAGGUUUAGACUUCGAAACAUGAAAUGUGUCUGCUUGAAUCUUUGCUUGGUAGUUAGUUUAUUUAUUGCAAACCGGAAUUAGGGGUCUAGAGGAUUCAACCAUUGAUUGGAUUGUGUGAUGAUGAGAUAUGAGAUAUAUAUAUGUAUAUACAUAGUUAUAGUAGGGACUAUGUGCGAGGGCGGGGGUUCAGGGAUGCCUGGACUAGCGACGCCACUGUGGAGGGGCGGGGGCUCAGAGAUGUCUGGGCUAGUGACGCAAUUUGUGUGGUGCGUGGUGCAGAGACGUUUGCAUCUGACGCAGCGAUCGAGGACGGGGGUACAUAGACAGACUGUACUAGUGGCGCCACGUAUGUAUAUCCAUAUGCGGAGAUGCGGGGUGUGUGGUAUAUCUAUGCACUAUCAGCGCAGUGUUUGUUGUGUGUGAUGCUUUAGGCGUCUUGCUUGUUCAUGUUAGAGCUAAACUUCCAUAGCGGGAGUUCUGUUUACUCAAGUCAGUGGUUUGUGGAUUAGCAUCCCAUACCUCACUGAGUGACUCCCCUGUUACUCACUCUCUUUUUCCCCCUUUCAGGUGAGGUAGCCGAGCAGGAGUGAUUACUUUCGGAUUGGUGCUUUGGGAGUUUUAUUCUUAUUUUCAGAUUUCGGUUUUAUGCUUUUAUCGAUAUUUUCCGGGAUUUAUUUUAUUUAUGCUAUUAUUGGAUUAUGGUAUUGAAUUUGACUUUUAAGAAUUAAUAAAUGGAGACUUUUAUGAGAUUA